UACGUAGGGUGCAAGCGUUUAUCCGGAAUUAUUGGGCGUAAAGAGCUCGUAGGCGGUUUGUCGCGUCUGCUGUGAAAACUGGAGGCUCAACCUCCAGCCUGCAGUGGGUACGGGCAGACUAGAGUGCGGCAGGGGAGACUGGAAUUCCUGGUGUAGCGGUGGAAUGCGCAGAUAUCAGGAGGAACACCGGUGGCGAAGGCGGGUCUCUGGGCCGUUACUGACGCUGAGGAGCGAAAGCGUGGGGAGCGAACAGG
rnacentral:rRNA from 1 species